AGGGUGAUGGGUUUUGUGGGACAGAACCAGGGUGGAGUUUAAGGUCAGGACUAAUAGGGACAGAGCAAGGGAGAAACCCCAGGGCUCAAACCCCAUCAGAGAUCCCUGGGCUGCCACCCCAUGAGGGGUCCGGGCUGGAGUUUCACUCCAGGCUCCCAGGGCCCAUCCCCUGAGGCAGAGGAAUGGAAUUCACUCUUCCUGGGCUUUAAAACCACACCUCUCACUUGAGCAAUGCUUAUCUAAAACUAAAUCCUUGCCUCCCUGGGCGGGGGCACUCACAAGCCAUUUCUCUCUGAGGCAGCCUGACAUUGUAGGCCCCAGCCGGAUCCAGGCCUCUGUGUCCUCAGUCAUGUUGCCACUUCCGAUUGAUAGGGGAAGGAGUGGAUUUCUGAAGCUGGUUCAGGCUGAGCAUGGGGCUGGCAGAGCUGCGGGACAGCAGCAGAGCGGGCAGGAUGCUGAGCAGGGAGAGCGCCAAGAGGCCCAGCAGCACCUGCAUGGGGGAUCUGCAGCACCGAACAGCCUCCAGGAGAAACAAAGGGAGCAGUUCCCAAUAGAAACCCUCUCCCAGGGCGAGGCAACUGAGCCAGGAUCCCACCGUGCAUCACUUUGUGAGAUGUUCCGAAGCUGGAUGGGUUUUUAAAGCUUUACAUAUUCUCUUUACAGUCACAAAUAAUAUCUUGAGUUCAGCAUUCGUUCAGGUUUAUGUAGCUUUGUAAAGAUGUUUUGUUUCUGAGAUACUCAAUAGGGUGAGAGGGAGAUUUGCAGACAGAAAAGAUGAGGGUGUUUUUUUGAGGGAGGAGCUUUUUAAUGUUUUUAGCCUUGGGCUAUGAAGUACUGGAAGUGGUGCAGAAUUCUUUUUAUUUUUACUUAUUUUUAUCUGUGCGCCAGGCACUCGUCCAUGCUGUCUGCCCUGCCAAAAAGGCUUCAGCACUAAUGUGACAGACCACCCUGCCCGUGGGUGAGGUGUGUAAUUCUUUCUUGGAGCAGAGAUCUCGAGCAGAGGCUGCUUGUUAUGUUGAAGUGCAUGUGGUUUUCUCACACGAGUUACUUGGCAGUCCAGAGAAAAUAUUAAACUCCACUUAACUUGGAAAGACCAGGAGGUCUGAAAUGCAUAGUAAAAAAUGUCUGCAUUUCAUUUUUUCUCCUCGAUCUCUUAUGGAAAGUCUUGGCAAUGGUGAAGAGAGAUCUUCCCUCACUCUGAAGUACAUCCCCAUCUUUCAGUGUUCUAACCUGUCUGGGUCAGGAAUGGCUGCUGGCAUUUGUUUAAGAAUUUUCUUUUUUUCUCGUGGUUGCAUAUUGAAUUUAUAAAUAGAAAUUAAAAUGACUAGUAUUAAGAAGGAACUAAACCCCCAAACCCAAAGUUUGGUCCUGGGAACUACUGGAAAAGCCUAUUCUCCAUUUUUACAGGUGGCCCUUGGGUCUGCUUGUGCCACACAAUUUUCAAAAAUGUAUUUUUCACAUUAAAAGUAUGAACUUUGCCAGCAUCAGUAUUAGUAUUUGUUAUUAUGAGAGAGUAAUUUUUUUCAUUUGUAGC